rnacentral:misc_RNA from 1 species
GUGAAUCAUCAAAUUUUUGAACGCAAAUUGCACUCUCUUCGGAGAGUAUGCCUGUUUGAGGGUCAGCCUAAAAAAAAAUCGACAUAGUCUCUGUUUCGCGGUGACAUUCGUCGGAAAGUGGGUCAUCUUAAACCUUUGGGUUUUCAGCGGCUUAAAAUUUUUUUUACUAUUCCACGAACGUUUCUUAUAUUUACUUCUUUGACCUUUAAGGUGU